rnacentral:pre_miRNA from 1 species
CAACUACUCCCUCUGUCCCAAAUUUCUUGUCUUAGAUUUGUCUAGAUACGGAUGUAUCAAGUCACAUUUUAGUAUUAGAUACAUAUGUAUCUAGACAAAUCUAAGACAACAAAUUUGGGACAGAGGGAGUAGUUG